rnacentral:lncRNA from 13 species
AAUAGUGUAUUUGUUAAAUUUGAAUGUUAGCGCCGGUUGCGCUCCAGUUACGUCUUUGCUCGGUUGACCCUUUUCCUGUUUCUGGCGCUGGCAUCGUUCAGGCUAUGAGACUGCGAGAUAUACCUUCACUUGAUGAUGAGAAGCCCAAAAUGGCGGAUGGACAAUAAAUACGUUUUUUUUCAAGUGAACUCUGUUGUGUUACUGAUCACCUUACAAAUCAAAAGUGUCAAAAGGUUAUGGGCCCAGCACGCUUCCACUGCGCCAAAAGUCGUCGAGUGAAGGAAGACUAGGAAAAAGCCGGAAAAUUGAGAAAUUAUUGCGAGACGAAUUUGCACAGCGGGAACACCACAGGAGAACAAUAGGAGAGAACCGAAGACGCUCACAUCAGAAAUCUGAUUAGUUAAAUUGUUAGACAAUCGAUCUGAUUGGCCGAAAUGUCAGUUUUAAAAGAAAUCAUAGACAGAUGCAGUCAAGCAUUGUCCAUUGAUGAGGAGGACAUUCAGGCCACAAUAAAAUUAGACGAGCACCUUUUCACAGUGCAGUUUGCGGCCGGAGAGAGUGUAGUACUCA